GUGAGACAGGUGCUGCAUGGCUGUCGUCAGCUCGUGGUGUGAAAUGUUUGGUUAAAUGGCGCAACGAGCGCAGCCCUUAGCCGUUGUUGCCCGCGAUUAGGACGGGAACUCAAAGGAGACUGCCAGUUAUAAACUGGAGGAAGGUGGGGAUGACGUCAAGUCAUCAUGGCCCUUACGACCAGGGCUACACACGUGCUACAAUGGCGCAUACAAAGAGAAGCGACCUCGC
rnacentral:rRNA from 1 species